rnacentral:sRNA from 1 species
AGCACAUCGACUCGCCUGCUUGGAGCGACUAACAACGCAUAGCGAGCAAUCGUCAGGUGGGUGCGGACGGCGCACAGAAACCGAAGUGUUCGGGGGGGUACAUACGGAUUCCGAGCACCGGCCGCGCCCGCAUGGCCACUGCGCCGUCGUUUUAUAGCGGCG